rnacentral:rRNA from 1 species
GUAGGGAAUCUUCGGCAAUGGACGAAAGUCUGACCGAGCAACGCCGCGUGAGUGAAGAAGGUUUUCGGAUCGUAAAACUCUGUUGUUAGAGAAGAAUGUUGAUUAGAGUGGAAAAUUAAUCAAGUGACGGUAUCUAACCAGAAAGGGACGGCUAACUACGUGCCAGCAGCCGCGGUAAUACGUAGGUCCCGAGCGGUGUCCGGAUUUAUUGGGCGUAAAGCGAGCGCAGGUGGUUUAAUAAGUCUGAUGUAAAAGGCAGUGGCUCAACCAUUGUGUGCAUUUGAAACUGUAAGACUUGAGUGCAGUAGAGGAGAGUGGAAUUCCAUGUGUAGCGGUGAAAUGCGUAGAUAUAUGGAGGAACACCGGUGGCGAAAGCGGCUCUCUGGACUGUCACUGACACUGAGGCUCGAAAGCGUGGGUAGCAAACAGGAUUAGAAACCCGGGUAGUCC